rnacentral:rRNA from 1 species
UACGAGAGGUGCGAGCGUUAUUCGGAAUUAUUGGGCGUAAAGGGUGCGCAGACGGUUUGUUAAGUUCAAUUGUUUAAAUUCCUCGGCCUAACUGAGGAUCAGCAGUAGAAACUGAUAAGCUAGAGUAUGGAAAGAGGGAAGUGGAAUUCUCGGAGUAGCGGUAAAAUGCGUAGAUCUCGAGAGGAACACCGAUGGCGAAGGCAGCUUCCCUGGUUCAUUACUGACGUUCAUGCACGAAAGCGUGGGGGAGCAAACAGG